rnacentral:rRNA from 1 species
ACGCUCGACACCUACGGAGGCAGCAGUGAGGAAUAUUGGUCAAUGGGCGCUAGCCUGAACCAGCCAAGUAGCGUGAAGGAUGAAGGCUCUAUGGGUCGUAAACUUCUUUUAUAUAAGAAUAAAGUGCAGUAUGUAUACUGUUUUGUAUGUAUUAUAUGAAUAAGGAUCGGCUAACUCCGUGCAAGCAGCCGCGGUAAUCUGAGCGGGCUGGCAAGGC